rnacentral:rRNA from 1 species
UACGUAGGGGGCAAGCGUUGUCCGGAAUCAUUGGGCGUAAAGCGCGUGUAGGCGGUCCGGUAAGUCGGCUGUGAAAGUCCAGGGCUCAACCCUGGGAUGCCGGUCGAUACUGCCGGACUAGAGUUCGGAAGAGGCGAGUGGAAUUCCCGGUGUAGCGGUGAAAUGCGUAGAGGUCGGGAGGAAUACCAGAGGCGAAGGCGGCGAACUGGACAGUAACUGACACUCAACUACGAAAGCGUGGGUAGCAAACAGG